UGCUGUUAAAAAGCUCGUAGUUGGAUCAAGAGUCGGACAGUGCAAGGUGGCCCCAUUUGCGUGCGUGGCUCCGGUUACAAUCGCGGUGGCGGAUCAACCCCUUGCGCCAAACUGUCCGCUCUAACAGGCCGAAACGGUUCCCUGUGAGUAGGACCCUUCACGGGGUUCGAAAGCGCCUACGCAUCCACCAUAUGCAUACGGGACGUCGGCCAAUGUUACUGUGAACAAACCAGCGUGUCCAAAGCAGGCCUCCGCCUGAAUGUUCGAGCAUGGAAUAACAAGGGAUCGAUUCUCUCGAUUCUUUUUGUUGGUUUUUAACCCGAGAAGGAGUAAUUCAGGUCACGGUGUCUGAGUUGGGUUCCCCUACUCUUCGGGGUAGGCCCCAAUUAGGCCGUGGCCUUACGGGAUCAAUAGGGACUGACGGGGCCGUACGUACUUCCGCGUCAGAGGUGAAAUUCUUAGAUCGCGGGAAGACGAACUUCUGCGAAAGCAUUCGGCAAGAAUGUCUUCAUUAAUCAAGAACGAGAGUGUGGGGAUCGAAGAUGAUCAGAUACCGUCGUAGUCCACUACUGUAAACAAUGCCGUCUCAGGAUUGAGAAGUGAACAUAAUGACUUUCACAGCACUAACCCCUGAAACGAGA
rnacentral:rRNA from 1 species